rnacentral:rRNA from 1 species
AACGAACGCUGGCGGCAGGCUUAACACAUGCAAGUCGAGCGCCCCGCAAGGGGAGCGGCAGACGGGUGAGUAACGCGUGGGAAUCUACCGUGCCCUACGGAAUAACGCAUGGAAACGUGUGCUAAUACCGUAUACGCCCUACGGGGGAAAGAUUUAUCGGGGUAUGAUGAGCCCGCGUUGGAUUAGCUAGUUGGUGGGGUAAAGGCCUACCAAGGCGACGAUCCAUAGCUGGUCUGAGAGGAUGAUCAGCCACAUUGGGACUGAGACACGGCCCAAACUCCUACGGGAGGCAGCAGUGGGGAAUAUUGGACAAUGGGCGCAAGCCUGAUCCAGCCAUGCCGCGUGAGUGAUGAAGGUCUUAGGAUUGUAAAGCUCUUUCACCGGUGAAGAUAAUGACGGUAACCGGAGAAGAAGCCCCGGCUAACUUCGUGCCAGCAGCCGCCGUAACAC